CACGUAGUUAGCCGGCGCUUUUUCUGCAGGUACCGUCACUUUCGCUUCUUCCCUGCUAAAAAGAGGUUUACAACCCGAAGGCCGUCGUCCCUCACGCGGCGUUGCUGCAUCAGGCUUGCGCCCAUUGUGCAAUAUUCCCCACUGCUGCCUCCCGUAGGAGUCUGGGCCGUGUCUCAGUCCCAGUGUGGCCGGUCACCCUCUCAGGCCGGCUACCCGUCGACGCCUUGGUGAGCCAUUACCUCACCAACAAGCUGAUAGGCCGCGAGCCCAUCCCCAACCGAAAUUCUUUCCAGACGCAGACCAUGCGGUCACGUCACAUAUCCAGUAUUAGACGCCGUUUCCAGCGCUUAUCCCAGAGUCAGGGGCAGGUUGCUCACGUGUUACUCACCCGUUCGCCACUGAUCCCACAGAGCAAGCUCCGUGUUCACCGUUCGACUUGCAUGUGUUAAGCACGCCGCCAGCGUUCAUCCUGAGCCAGGAUCAAACUC
rnacentral:rRNA from 1 species